UCGCCUAUAAUAUAACAGCUAGUCAAAGAAAAGAUGGGAACUACAGAUAUGCUAGUCAGUGUAUAUCCCUCAAGCACAGUAAAAAUCAUGACCCUGAGACCUGGACAAUUGUAACCACCAAUGCCAGCAUAGAGCAGCUGCAGCUGGUAUUAGAUAUUACCAGUAUCCUCUACUAGAUUGUUGCAGAUUCCUCAGUGAUUUGCUUAUGAAUUGAAUCACUAGUCAGUUGUCUCUCAGUGCUUUCAUGAAAUUAUCUUGCAUGUUGUAAGUUUCCGCGAAGACCUUUCUGUAACAAAUGCUAAGAUAAUCAUAGACCUCACUAUGCUUAUCAAUCAUCCUAUUUUCCCCAUAUAAUAUGAAACCAUAAAAGAAGAGACGGAAAAAAAAAAGUUCGAGGCAGAAGUUGAGAUUUGUGUUAACAAGUUGUUGGGGGUCAACAUGGGAUUUUGUUAAUAAAUAUUACAUACGGGGGGCUGGAAAAGGGAAAGGGGUACAAUUGCAAUUGAACCCACACUUAUUGAGGGUAAACUUCCACUAGUACCACUAGGCAAUAAGUCUCGGUUAACAUGUGGUUUAUUCUUUGAGUUCAAAUUGAGCAAUGGCAAAUUGAUGCUAUUGAGGAUCUAGGGGGUGACUUUUCAUGCCUUUUUCUCUUUUUGUUGGUAUUAAGCUGACAAUCCUAUCAUCUUAGUGGAACUUGGGGGUAAAUGUUCAUUGGCAGAUGUCAUAUAAAUGUAAUGGGCUAGGAAUUGUUGGCAAAAUAAUAUUGUAUUUCAAAAGAUUUAGUAGAAUUGUCAUUCAUGUACAAAGGAAAUUUUACAAAUGUCUUAGCAUGUGUAAGUGUCUUUGCAUCUAAAUGUGCUCAUUCAUUUAUAGAUUUAAAGAAGUGGCAAAAGCCUUUGAAGAAGUGACGAACAAGGCGCCAUGUUGAUGACAAGAACAAGAAUGCACGCACACAAUCAUGGCUAUAAAUAGCCAUCAUUACCUCAGCACUGGAUACCAAGAAAAUUAGCCUUGAUCAUAAGUUGUCAUUACAAGCCUAAGCUACUAUAAUUCUGUCGUCCAAUUUCCAUCAUUGUUCCCUUUUCUAUAGAUUCCUAAUUGUUUCCUUUAUUGUUCCUAACUUGCUAGUUUAUUAUUCAAAUUUUGCUAUUCCUAUUCCCUCUAACAAGAGAAAGGCUUGUUCAAACUUGCGAAACAUUCACACUGCUGAAAAAGAUUCUUAGGACAGUGAAGGCUAAUUUUCUUGAUGUCUAUUGAUGAAGUAAUGAUGGCUAUUUAUAGCCAUGAUCGCCUCCAUUCUUGUGCUUGUUAGCAGCGUGGCUAACCUUGUUUGCCACUUAUUCAAAGUCCACAUUUAGAUGUAAAGACACUUGUCCUCUACAAGAUUCCUAUUUUUCUCUUUAUUGUUCCAAACUUGUAGGUUUAUUAAUUAAUUUUGUCGUUCCUGCUCCCUCUAAUAAUAAGAGGUAGGCUUAUUCACUCUUGAAAAACUUUCACACUACUGGAAUAGUUUUUUAGGACACGACUUAAGCAAAUUUGUGUAUCUGUUUUUUCAUUUUCACUAGAUCAUUCACCUUGGAUACUUGAAACAUACUAAAACCCCAAAAGAAAAAGAAAAAACAACAUAACAAGAUCCUAUUACGAGCUAGAGCAGCAAAAGCAUGAUCUCUAAUUAUCGGCAUACAAAAAGGAGAAGUCCAAAGGAAAUAAGAAAAAAGAAUUAUAAUGAAAAACAAAGAAAAUUACCAGGUCAAGGACAUGAACAAGGGACUUAAUUCCAUUUUCGUCCAUGGAUUGUAUAUGUUCCUCCACCCAUUUGCCCAGAACAAGGUCCAGCUCCAAAUACCCUCUUUGUUUACUACGAUAAAUAAGCCUAUAUCCAUACAAAAUAAAACCACCAACAACAUAUCAUGAACCCGCUGGAGGAACUUAUAACCCAUCAUAUUAAAUAGUAAAAGCUUAAAGUCACCUGUUAAAUAAACGUCUUUUGCUCUCUUCGUUGGAGAGAUCAAUAUUAUUUGGCGACGAAGCCUCGUUGGAAGUAAUGAAACGCGAAAAUGUUCCAGUCAAAGGCCUAAACAAGCAAAUAUAAUUAAUUUUUUUUUACAGAUAACAGGUAAAGAGAGUAAGAAUGUUGGAUUUUUGAAACCUGUAAAGAUUAUGAGAGGGGAGCGUGGAGGUUGCAACAGAUGUCCCGUUAGAGGAAUUGAGGAUCCGAGGAAUGGUGAAGAGGAGUGCCCUUCUUAAAUUCGCCAUUCUUUUAGAGUUUUAGUCCCACAACUAUGUUAUUUUGAGGAUCAAAACUCAAAUCAGACUUUUGUUGAGGAGAAGAUGUUAUUCGGUUUGGAAUUUAAGUUGGAAGGCGGUCUGCCUAAUGCGGUGCGUGGCCUUUUGACGUCCACUUGGAACCCGCUUGGGAACACUCAACUUGGGCUGGACGCUUUAUUCGGUAAUCGCUAUUUAAGGUCCGGCUCGGUCCGUUGAGUCGAUUUGACUAGGCAUAAUUCAAGUUUGAUCAGUGCUUCCCUUAAACUCUAGUACUAAAUAGAAUAUUUUGUAACUAACUAAAUAAGAUAAUUGCAUAUAAAAAAUUACUUUUAUCGUAAUGAUAAUUACUGUGAUAAAAUUUAUAAUUGCGUCCUUCUUCGUGAGAAAUAAUUAAAUAUUUAAUCAAAUUUUAACUUAGAGUAUGUUUGGAAAGCCCCCUAGAAAUUGAUUUGGGUGUAAUUGAGUAUAAUUACCCAGUUUGGCAUAUUUGUCAUGCCAAGUAAUUACUUAAUCAAUAUGGUAUAAUUGGAGAAGUAUAAUUACUCUCCAAUUUUUAAGGGGAGGUAAGAAUUGGUGGUAAUUACACUGUGAAAUUACAAGAUUAAUUUUUAAUUUCUUUCCUUUUUGUUUUUAUUUUAAUUUACUUUUUAUACUAACUUUUUAUUUCAAUUUCUUUUUAUUUUAAUUUGUUUAUUUAAUUUUUAAUUUUUAAUUUCUUUUUUAAUUUUAAAAUAUAUUUUUCUUUGUACAUUUUUUUUCUCUACCUUUACGUGUGAUUCCAUGUAAUUGAUCGUAUAUUUUAUUUCUUAUUCGUUUUAUUUUCUCCAUUUAGCAUAACUGAAUUAUUAUUCUAGUUUUUGAAGCUACAUCUCCUAAUAUUAGAAAUAAUGAGUCACUAGCAACCUUGGUAUAGAACGAGUGAUGUCAUUAAAGUAGAAUUUCGUUGUUGAAUGAGGUUAUAUACUUAUUAUAUUUUCUAAUCUUAAGUUGUAUUAGAACUUAUUUUUAUUAUAUUGGAGUUUGACAUAUGUUAAACUAUUUUUUUUUUGGAUUUUGAAAUUUUAUUUAUUUAUGGUUCCAAUUUACUUGUUUUAGUAGUAUUGGCUUUGUCANNNNNNNNNNNNNNNNGCUUUGUCAUUUCACAUUGCAUGUUGUUCAUUUUUUAGUUAGAAUUGAUAGAUUAGUUUUGUCAAACAUUUGAAAAAUGUUAUGACAUUAUAUUUAUAAAUAUUAAUUUUUUUUGUCAAACAUGCAUUCCAUUCCAUGAUGUUCUUACAAAACGUAUAUUUUUAGUUUUUAUAAUUAAUUAAACUAAAUAUUAUUAAUUUGAAAUAUAUAUAUCAAUUAUUUUUAUAAUAUUAGUUAUAAAUAUAUGAUUACCAUUUAAUGUAUAUUCAAGACAAAAUAUGUAUCUUAAAUACCAAAUCUAAUAUUAUUUAUACUUAAAAAAAAUUAUAGUGAUAUAUUUAUUAGAUUAACUUUUAAAUUUUGAUAAUUAUUUCAUUUAAAAUUUAAUCUAACUGUAUAAUUAUACUUGUGCAACCAAAUAGUUCGCUUGUAAUUACACUGUAAUUAAGUCAUGACAAACAAAUCAAUCGAUGCAUUACUAUAUUGUGUAAUUACUAGGUUGUGUAAUUACUACUCUAGUAAUUAUACUAAUUUCAAUUAUCGGGUGGCUUUCCAAACAAACCCUAAGCUGAUUUACAGUGACAUGUUAUAGUUUUAAAUUAAGAAUUCAAAUUAUAAGUGAAGUUUAGUUUAGGACAAUUUUUUUUGUCUUUAAAAUUCUCAAUUUUAUGUUUUAAACUUAAUUUUAUUGUGUUCCAAUUUAGUGUCUAAUAGUAUGUGAAUUCAACUAUAAACUUAAAUUAUGAGUUCUUUUUUUAUUUUUAAAUUAGUUAUAUUAUUGUGGAUUCAAUUUUUUUCAAAAAGUAUAUCAAUACAUGAGGAAAAAGAACAUUAAAAUGGACCUCCAGUUAUAAAAAAAAUUCCCAUGGAAAUUGGUAAGAUACUAGGAACCCUUGUUUAAUUAUUUUUCCUUUGUUUUAUUUAUUCAGGUUUAUAUGGGUGAAGUUUUUAAUUGAAGGUUGUUCAAACAAACACUGGCGGAGUACAAGGAUUGCUCCAAAUAUAUCGGAAGAAGUACGCGUUUCUGUUACAUCAAUCAACUCUCCUACCAUUCUAUCUAACAAUUAUUCGGACCUAAGCCAAAUCAGGAGAUGAUUUGAAGAACAAUCGCCGACGAUAGUAAUAAUAAUAAUGGAUAAAAAGGAAAAGGCAAAGGAAAGAAAGGAGCAAAGACGCCAAGAGAUCUCUCUUCUCCGUACUAUUCCCUAUUCUGAUCAUCAAAGGUCUGAUUUUUCCAAUUUCUACAGUUUUUAUUUUACAUUCUCUCUUUACAUUUUGGGCUAGAUCCAUCAUCCAAUCAAAAGGGCAACAUUCAUAAUUUGCCACACACAUGAAUGUAUUGAUCAUUUUGCAUUUUAUUAGGAGAGCUUAAUUUACUCUGUUGCCUAGGCCGACCCUUCAAUAAUCAAAGAUUCAAAAUAGAGUUUCCAAUUAAAUACGGUAAUAAAGAGAAGGAAAACCAUGCGUAAGACCAUGCAUCUUUGUCUUAGCUUCUCGAGCAGAGACAAAUCUACGAUUUAGAGUUAGUGAAUUCAGAAUGUGUUUGAUUUUAUUAUAUUAAUACAUUUUAAAACUUGUUUUGCAUAUGUAUGCAUAGUUCGAAUCAGAAACAAUGGUUUCAAUUGAAUCCAUAGAACGCGCCCUAGAUUUCUCCACGAUGGUUAAAUUUGGUGGCGACUUCUUUUUAUCAGUAUAACAUAUCAGAAUAUUCUCCCUUAGGUUCUUUAAUUUGAGCAUAACGCUAAUUACAUGCUACAUGGUUUUCAGAUGGUGGUCAUCUGACACUAUUGCUGUAGUGACGGGUGCAAAUAGAGGAAUUGGAUUUGAGAUUGCUCAUCAACUUGCAUCACAUGGCGUAACUGUAGUUCUUACGUCGCGAGAGACUGCCGUUGGGGAAGAAGCAGUGAAAGUAUUGCAAGAAGGAGGUCUAAAUGUUGCAUUUCAUCAAUUGGAUAUUGUGGAUCUUGAAUCAGUCCAAGUUUUUUGUGAUUGGAUUAAAGAAACAUAUGGUGGCCUAGACAUACUGGUAUUAAUUAAUCUACUCUGAUUGCCACUUUGUCUUUUAUUAUUAUUGAGAAAUAUGUCCAGCUAAUGAGAUAUGGCACUUGUAGAUCAACAAUGCAGGAGUCAAUUUCAAUUAUGGCAAAGAAAAUUCUGUGGAAUUUGCUGAAACUGUUAUCCAGACCAACUAUUUUGGCACCAAAAAUAUGAUUAAUGCUCUGAUCCCGUUAAUGAGGCCUUCUCCAGCUGGUGCCCGAAUUGUUAGUGUGACCUCACGAUUGGGAAGACUUAAUAGCAAACGAAAUGUAAGUUAUCAGAGCUUUGUUUAUUUCAUUCUUGUUCUUGGAAUAAGCGUCUGUAAUAGUUAAGGAGUAUAGGAGACUUGCGGGUUUACUCUUGGCAGAAGCGGAUCAUCCGUAGCAACCGCGACUCAAAUUACCGGUCCUCAGAAAUCCUCACAUGGUGGAUUGAUCCCCUAUUUUCACACCCUCUUGUUUGAUACAGAAAACUACUAACCCUAGCCCCGUUUGUUGUAUGUAUUUGUCGGCCUCCAAACACCCAUAACGGUUUAUAUAGACUGCACUUAGGGUUGGGGUUAGACAGCCUAAUAGACCGGCUAAUUAGCUAGCUAGCACCCCUUAUGCGUGUACUAGGCCCCAAAAAACAAUUUUUUCCAACAAUAUCUGAGAAUGAUCUAUUUUUGCUUGAUGUUACCAGGGAAUUUCAAAUGUCAGUGUGAGACAACAACUGGAAGACGUGGACACGCUAUCCGAGGAAGUGAUCGAUAAUACUAUGAACAAAUUUUUGGAACAAGUAAAAGAUGGGACUUGGGAAUCAGAGGGAUGGCCACAUGUGUUCACAGAUUACUCAUUGUCAAAGCUAGCAGUUAAUGCUUACACCAGAUUAAUGGCAAGGAUACUCGAGGAAAGGCCAGAGGGUCAUAAGAUAUAUAUCAAUUGCUAUUGUCCGGGUUGGGUGAAAACUGCUCUGACUGGUUGGGCUGGGCAUGUUUCUCCUGAAGAAGCUGCUGAUACUGCAGUCUGGCUUGCUUUGCUCCCUGAUCAGUUUGUGAGUGGUAAGUUUUUCGCAGAGAGGCGUGAGAUUAACUUUUAAACUGUCAGUGUAUACUGAUUCCAGAAUUAGCGAGGAGUUUCUUUUGCUUUUAUGAACAAGAAUGUGAAAGAGUUCAGAUUCAAGAGAGAAGAUUGCUUCACAGAAAUUUAUGUUAUUAAUCUGCAUUUGCUAACUAAAAUGCACACAAUUGAUUGCCUAGAGAUGAAGGGGUGACCUGCUUUUUGUAUUUUUGGGUUUUUUUGCCCGAGGUAUCUUGCAACGCUGGUAACUCAGUAACAAGUAACAGCCGCAGAUAUUGAUGAAGAGCAAUUUGUUUGUACUUAUAGUUGUUUUUAACAGGUUGCAGGGAAGCUUGCUUUUGACCUCUGUAAUGGAUUUAAUAAAUAGUACUAUGCAUUAUGUUCUUGUCACGUUUCAGUUUUAUAGCCUAUAGAUAUGUACUGUUUUGGAUACAAGUAUACUACACAUAAAAAGGAAUUCUACGAGGGCAAAAAGGAGAAAAGAGAGCAAGUCGAGUAUGUAUUCAAUAUUGAUCAGCCGUAGUCCGAUGGAAUCUACUUCUCCUCCUGAUCAUUUUCCCACAUCCCCAUUUUGAAGAAUUAACUUAAAUAACCGCUCAUUCAAGCACUUAAAUUUAAAAUAGCCGGCGUAUGCAUAAUAUGUGUAUAAUAUACUGGCUAGAAAAAGUUAACAAUGAAUUCGACCGGGUUAUUUUGUGUAAAGAUCCCAAUUGAAUUGGUCCCAGCCAACUUCCCAUACCUGCAUGGUACGAACUUCGAAGCACUUGAAUUAGGAUAUGUCAUUGUUUGGUACAAUUUGUUCCCGAAUGGAGGUGGAGCAACAAAGUUCAACUUACCAAAAAUUAGAUACAACCUUUAGGGUCGUUUGGUAUAUAUGGUGUAUAAGAUAAUUAAUCAUGGUGUAAGAAUUGUAUUAAGUUAAUACAUUGUUUGAUUGUGAUUUCAAAUAUAGAAUAACUAAUUCAUAAUUGGUGUAUUAUCUUGUUCUAUCACUAACAUUGAGUAACUAAUCAAUGUAUAAUAAGCUAUACAUGGAUAAAACACCAAAAGGACAAAACUAUCUUCUUCUUCUUUUUUUGACAAGAAGCCUGUGAAAACCAAAUAUCCUGAGGUAUAAUUGUAAAUAUAUUAUUUUUACUUUAAAAAGUAAGUAAAUAAUUUUUUAUGAUACUUUGUAUGCGUAGUUUUAAUGCAAUGAACCAAACACCCAACACAAAAUAAUUUAUGUACUAUUUAUCCACGUAUUAUUAAUCUUUGCAUUAGUAAUCUCUGCAUUGCUAAUCUUUGCAUUACUAAUCUAUAUAUAAUUUGUCUUCAAACCAAAUGAUCCAUAGAGUAUCCAUAUACUCCGAAUUUUUUAUUUUUGUAGUGUAAAACGGGCCAGAAUUGAUUAUUACAAAUAUUAAAUUAAGUUGAAGGAUGAAAAUCCAGUUUACUUGCUAUUGUUAAUUUAUCUAAAUACGUCACACCUUAAAUUUUAAUGUCUAUACUUUUCUUUUUAUUUACAUAAGUACUGAGUAAUAAGUGAAAAGAAAGAUCUCAUUAUAUUCAUGAUAAUUUUAGUUAAAAAAUUUUGAGUUAUAACAUUUUACCAUUUGACUUUCUUAGAGGCUAAUUGUAAUAUUUACUUAGUGAAUCAAAAAGGCAUCUCAGUUUAGUUAUAUUUUUUGUUUUGUUUUAGACACAUAAUAUAUGAAAUUUACUUAUUUGAUUUAUUUGAAUUUUCGUUGCAUAAGAUAUCAUUAAAGAGAUAUAACAUCCUACACAUAAAACUUUUUAACUUUCAAGGCUUAAACAUGAAAUUUUUAGUUAAAAUUCAUGAGUGCAAUGCGCUAUAUUCUGUUUUCCUUUUUCUUUUUAAAUUUUGGCUCUAAAUUUUUGGAAUAAAGGCGCAAGAAACAUGAGUAUGAAAACGAAAGCGUGAACAUGACACCAGGCUCAUACGGCAUACCCACCCCUACCCCGGGGGGGCGGGGGUUGAACGUGCGGAAUCAUGUUCCCAUCAAUAUAAAUUGACUAUUCCAUAAAGUCCUUCCGAAUUUUUUCUCACACACACGCACUGAAUUAGACAUCACCGGUAGCUACCGCUUCAGCUCCGCCGACUCCCCCACCGCCCCCUAACAAUUUAUUCAGACGCCCAUUGGACCCUCCUAACUGGAAAUAAGAAAUUAGGUAAUUGGGUUCUUUGUCCAUGUCUGUCCGAAACCGGCCAUUGACGUUUUCUUUAAGCAUUGUUUAAACAGUAGUACAGUACCCGAUAAAUUAAUCAGUUUCUUCAACUUUGGUAAACUUUGACUCUUCCCUUCCUUUUUUGACCCGUUAACAACAAAACCCGCGUCUUAAACCGGGUUUAUUCCUCGGAUCCUUCACAAUUAUUCUCUUUUUUUUUUUGGAAUUAAUUCGCCUCUACAGAAUUACUACACAAAAGCACUGUUGCGUUUGUUCUGUUAGAUCUGAAAUUAUUUUUAAAUUUCCAUGCGGUGAGAAACCCAGCAAUGGCAACUAAGGACCGGCCUGGCUGCUGCAACCCGGUGUAGAAGCCCGGCCCGGUCUCAAUGGACCAUGUUUUAUCAGCACUAAGGGAGACUAAAGAGGAGAGGGACAUUAGAAUCAGAAGCCUAUUCAGUUUUUUCGAUUCGGACAAUGCGGGUUACUUGGAUUACACGAAAAUCGAGAAAGGAUUAUUUGCUAUGCAAAUUCCAGCUGAUUAUAAGUUUGCUAAAGAAUUGUUGACGGUGUGUGAUAAAGAUAAGGAUGGGAGGGUGGAUUAUCAGGAGUUCAAAAAGUACAUGGAUGAUAAGGAGCUGGAGCUGUAUAGGAUUUUUCAGGCUAUUGAUGUGGAGCAUAAUGGCUGCAUCUUGCCUGAGGAGCUUUGGGAUGCCCUUGUUAAAGCUGGUACUUAUCAUUUCCCUCUUUAAUUUCGUUCUCUGAGAUUAAUCGUAAAUGUUAAUAUUGCUCUCUUGUUUACUGGUGUAAUUACUUAUACUGGUUUGUGCAAGGAAACUAUGUCUAUACCACUGGGGUGACUUUUAACAAUUUGCAAUAUUGACUGAUGCUAUUAUUUAUCUUUAUCUUGCAUUUAGUUUUUUUUUUUUUUUUGCUUCAUUAAGUUCUUAUUGUCUUUUUGUAUGUGUUUAUUCUUUAAUUCUUAUAUUUAGACAUGGUUAAACAGCGUAAAGAUCUGUACUGAUCCUUUCAUAUUGUUGAAGAGAAAACAAAUGUAUAGGAUGAUUCAUGUGUUGCCUGCAUGUGUUUUUAAUCUCUACAUCAGAAGUACGAGGCUUUGUACUGUUUUAGAACAUCAAGUAGGUUGACACUUUGUACUAUUUUAGAACUUCAAGUAGGUAAUUUUUGUCUGAUCCAUAGCAGUGAGAGUAGACGAGGUGCUUUUUUGAAGAGUUGUAUUGCUUGGAGUUCUGAAGGUUUCCUUCCCUAUCAUAGUGCUAAACUCUGAUUUCAGUCCUAUAUUUUCUGUUCAAGUUAGAUACAAAUGGUGUCCUAGUUCAGUUAUUAAUAGAACCAUCUGAAUUCUGAACUAAUGGUAGAAUUUGGUACUCCUAUAACUCUUUCUGAGUUUAAAAGAGAAAAGGAGUCAAAAGGAGGACCAUCCUUUCCCUUUAUUGCAUUCCUACAUCUGCUUUUCCUAGUUCCCUUCCCAGUCUUUUGAGUUGGCAUUGAAGCCUCAAUGGCUAAUGUAAUCAAGGAGGGAAAGACAGGAAGCAAAAGGUAGCAUGGAAUGAUGGAGAAUUGGAGGAAACGUGGUGAUGAAUUGUAAGGGAUUGCUGGUGUUUGGGACGUGCCGGAGGGGGCAAAUUUUGUCGACCGGUUAUUUUUCUUCCGUGCUCUGGUGAAGGAAUUGAGUUUAGAUGAGGUUUAAGUCUCUAGGUAUUUAAAUUUGCUGUAGUAUUGAAACUGAGGCCAGCAAAAUUAGGUUUAGGCUUAGUUCCAGCGUUGAGCUGGAUACUUUAGCCUUAUAUAUGUAGGGUAGAACUAAGUAUUAUUUGUGGGAUACCUUGCUUGCUGUUUCUGAAUGUCCGGGCUAAUUUUGGAGAAUGAGACUGAUCUUGUACAAGAAGCAGGUUAAGGUGCUUAUCAGUGAAGCUUCUCAAACAGCCAGUUCCAAGAAAAAUGAAGCUUCUCAAACAGUCUUCUAUUCAUGGCAUUCUCUGCACUCUACCGAUUUCUAGCAGAUUCAGAAUUUUCUUUAUUAUGAUCAGUUUUUUUUUUUUUGUUGUGUGUGUGUGUGUUUCUUUUUUUCCAGAUAAGGAAUCAGUUGUGUCUUCUUAAGAUGCUCUGUCUAGUAAUUGAUGUUUGCCUUCUCUUAGUGAUAGAAAAUAUCUGUACUCCUUGUUACAGUGCUAGUUGGCCUUGUGAAAUUUUCUGACUCAUAGUAUAGAGGUUUUUACUUAAUUGUGAAGUUUCACCUAUUAUGUAAAUGCUCUACACCCGUACUCUUUGUCUGCCUUUUCACUUUUGCUACAUGGUUUGUCGGGUAAAUAUCUCCUUUAGUUUCAUCUACAUUAAAUAAGAUGCCUAAAUGGGUCUGGGUUGAUUAAUUGGAUUAUACUUUCUGAAUGUACUGAACAAAAAUUCCAUCUUUAUUCGUGAAUUAUGUUGCUAUUACAAAUAUUCAUCUCUUCUGGAUAUAUGUUUCUGGGUCAUAAUUGUUCCCAAGCCUCAUUUCAUUUCAUUAGUUGUCUUCCUCUUAUAAGCUAGGGCAGUUUCCUUUUUGCAGGGAUAGAAAUAGAUGAUGAUGAACUUGCACGUUUUGUGGAACAUGUCGAUAAGGAUAAUAAUGGGAUUAUCACUUUUGAAGAAUGGAGAAAUUUUCUUCUACUUUAUCCACAUGAGGCCACGAUGGAGAAUAUAUACCGAUACUGGGAGAGGGUAUGUCUUGUAGAUAUUGGUGAGCAGGCUGUAAUUCCAGAAGGCAUCAGUAAGCAUGUUCAUGCAGCUAAGUAUUUGAUUGCUGGGGGAGUUGCAGGAGCUGCUUCUCGUACCGCUACAGCUCCCCUUGAUCGGCUUAAGGUGGUUUUACAAGUUCAGACUACCCGUGCUUCUAUUGGUCCUGCUGUCAAAAACAUAUGGAAGGAGGGUGGUUUAUUGAGUUUUUUUAGGGGCAAUGGAUUAAAUGUGAUGAAGGUUGCACCUGAAAGUGCAAUCAAGUUUUACACUUACGAAAUGUUGAAAAAUGUAAUUGCUCGUACGAAGGGGGAGGAACAGGGUGACAUUGGAGCUUCUGGGCGUCUUGUGGCGGGGGGCUUGGCUGGUGCAGUAGCACAGACUGCUAUCUAUCCCAUGGAUCUCGUUAAGACUCGGUUACAAACUCAUUCAUGUGAAGGUGGAAAGGUUCCCAACCUGGGAAAACUAUCAAAAGAUAUAUGGGUUAAGGAGGGAUCUCGGGCCUUUUAUAGAGGACUGAUACCAUCUCUUCUUGGAAUUAUACCUUAUGCAGGCAUUGAUUUGGCUGCCUAUGAGACAUUGAAGGAUUUGUCCAAGAUAUAUAUUCUUCAUGAUAGCGGUAUAGCUUCUAACUGUUCAACUGCUACUAACUUUUGUCCGACAAAAUGAAAUGCAAAUUUUUCUAACAAUUGUGUUUGAUAUACAGAACCUGGCCCUCUUGUGCAACUGGGUUGUGGGACAAUUUCCGGAGCGCUUGGAGCAACUUGUGUUUAUCCUUUACAGGUCGUUCGGACGAGGUAACUCUCUAUGUCUAACUGAUGCUGCUACCAUAAAUAUUUGCAUUUGAAUGUACUUCAUGUGUUAUCAUGCAAUUUGCCUUUCUUUUCACACACAAACUUCAAUUUUUGCUAGAAUGCAAGCUCAACCUACAAAUGCUGAUGCUGCUUACAAAGGAAUGUCUGAUGUGUUCCGGAGAACACUUCAGCAUGAAGGUCUCAGAGGCUUCUACAAAGGACUUUUUCCAAAUCUUCUAAAAGUAGUUCCAGCAGCAAGCAUUACUUAUCUCGUUUAUGAAUCCAUGAAAAAGAGUCUAGAACUCGAUUAGGUGAUAUAUUCUUGAUUGACUGCUCCACAUUUGGGGGUAAAAACAGCUGAUGCGGAGGAUGAUGAUGAAAAUGAAUUAAGAUUUUAGGCUCAUUGGUGCUUUGAUCGUCAAAAUAAUGCACUUGACUUUAACUUAACAAAAAUAAAAAUAAAAAUAACAUACACAUGAUUGAUGCGCCAUUGCAUGUUGAAGAAAUUUUAACGGGAGUUUUUUUCUUCUCCUGACAGAGAAGUCUUCUUUUGGUGAUUUCUGUCUGAGUUCUAUAGGCACGUCCUCUGUAAACUAAUGCUAAUUUUUACAUACACAAUGUAAUACUGUAAGGUGUAGAUCUUACCAUUUUUGCUAUAUGGAUAAUUUGCGUGGAUGAUCUAACUCAUUUUGCUCCAUUUUCCUUGGUGCAGACGAGACCGUUGUAUUACCAAAAUAACCAGGUGCUUACUGUGUAACCAGAAUUCAUGGUUCGACAUUAGAUUUCUUAUACUCGUAAAGUGGGAUGGUAAGUAAUCUGUUAUUGUGCUCAAAUACUUGAGUUAAUCAAACAGCACUGAAAAUUGAAAUCCCGGCAUACUCAAUCUGCCUCUGUAUUAAGUAAAACUAACCAAAGUAUACGCAAAAGAAGAAAGAACGUUCACGUGGAUGUAUGUAUGUAGAAGUAAGUAUAAAGUUAAACGAAAUCAAAGGUAAAUAUGAGAGUUGAAUAACAAAAAAUUAUUGUUGCACUAGUAUAAUAUGAGAGUUGAAAAACAAAAUUUAUUAUGAUAGUAUAAUAUGAGAGUUGGAAAAAAAUAUUUAUUGUCAUAGUAUAAUAUAUUUUUCUAAGGUUGCGAGAAGGGUACGAUGUCAUUCUUUUAAUUUUUUUUGCCCUUUCUCUAUCCGACAGGGAAGCAAGAAGUAUUUUUUUUCUUUCUAAUCUACUCGUUAGCAAAUAAUGUUAGAUUAUUUCCUUAAUAUGGCGUCAGAAGCUCAAAAGUUUUAAACUUUCAGUUUUUUCUAUAUUUAAUAUUUACACGCUAAACAAAACCCCAAAAAUAAAUUAUUUAAUUUUGGGCCGUAAAAUUUUCAAUACUGCUGUCAGUAUUUCUUGGUUAGCCGAGGUCUGGGAGAAAAAUCACUAUAAAUAAUGUUUUUUUAUUAAGCGAGUGAGAGGGUGCCGUUUUCUGCUGAGAUCUGAGGUAACUCGCCGUUUCUCUCGAAUCAUCUACGUGUGUAUUUCAACAUUACUAGUUUUUAUAUACGUGCCUCGCACGUAUAAUAAAAGGCGCACCUAAUAGUUAAUAAUAUGAAUAUACUUGUCACCAAAAAAGUGUUAAUAUGAAACUCAUGAUAUUAAAGAUUUACUUGUAGCUAAUUCAUUUUCUUUAUCACUAUUAGUUUUUUAGUUACUUAUAUGAAAAAAUGGGCAAAAAACAUAUAAAAUGGGCAAGAAAGAUUUUCGUGCAUAUAAGAAGACUUGAGAGAUUGAACCAUAAGAACUUGCUUCGUAUCGUAUCUUUUACGAUAUAAGGAAGAAAUUUUUUUUUGGUUUUUGAAUAUGUUAAACAUGGACUUACAAUUUAUCUAGAAUUGUUAUUAUUCAUACUCUCAUAUAAUUAAUUGACCACUACAUUAUUUUUGCUCUUUCUUCUUUCUUUUUUCCCUUCCAACUGUGAAAUUAAGAUAUGAGAUGGUAAUAGUAGAUAUGAAUUUAUAACUUUAAAAUUAUAACGCAUUAAAUGCUAAAAAACUUGAAGGUUGAACUUAUAAAAUUUAAAUCUUAGAUUCGCCUUUGUAUAGCAUGCUAUCAAAUUAAUUCGUCAAUAUAUAUGUCAGACGGUUCGAACACAACGGUCAUUAAGACAAUCUAGGUGGUUCGAAGUGAUUUUAAGCAUCCAAAAUAUAUCCUUCUUUUGUUGUCGAUUUUUCCGAUAGUACAAACAUGGGUUAUGGUGUAGAUAUUACCAAGAUCAGUCAUAUAAUUUUUAGUGUUUGUUUACAUGACUUAUUCAUCCAUGAAAAUAUAUAGUACACGAGAGUAAAUAAUGUUUCCUUUAGAUUAAAAAAUCAAUAUUUAAAUCUUUAAUGUUUUUCUUAAACCUUUUUCCUGGGGAUUAUUAAUGUUCUCCCAAAGAACCACUUUGCUAAUUAAUGGAACUUUUAAGAAAUAAAUAAAUUUAGUCGAAAUAGCAAUAACCAAAUAAAAUAGGUACACACAAUAGAGCUUAAAGGAGUACUCCUACAUUUCAACACAUCCAUAGAAAAAAAAUAACCAAUCGGUUGUUACAACAUCAGUGUAGCAAUUGAAAACACCAAGUGUCUUGAAUUCCGAUUAAGUUUGUUAAGAUGAAUGCACGGAGGUCUGAUAAUACCAAGCUACAAGUUAUACAAAUUAGUUAACACAAGUCAUUCCUUUUCAAAUUGAGAGUACUCCUUUACCGAAUAGUUUUCUUAUCAUUCAAUCGGUUUCUUUUUGACUUCAAAUCCUAGAUAUUAGAGUACUAAAUAUUAGGUAAAGUUUUGGGUGUUACAAUUUUAUCCAUCAUGGAGUUAUUUAUUUGCACAAAUAAUUCAAUUUCAUAAAGGGAAAAAAAGUCGAUUAAUAUUUCAAUGAUAUUUUUAUCGUUCAAUAUUUAGCGUUUUAACACUCGUGCUUUUAUAAUAAUAUAGAUAGAUAUAAAUAUAUAGCGCUAAUAUAGAAACGCACCCACAUCUACCUAUAUAUGAGGUAUGGAGUGGGAAAGAAGCAAAGUUAUUUUUCACAUGCAUGCCACGGGCUAAUUAACUUGUUUCGUUUUUUUUUUUUGAAUUUUUUUCGCCUCGUUAAAACUAUGUCGUAUAUAUAUGAUUGAAGGAAAGCAAAUAUCUUUCGGUUUAUGGAGCUUAAACAGAUUUUAGGUGCCAUCAUUCUGGUAUAUUCAUUCAUAUUCAAGUUAAUUAGCGUACUUUGCUAGUUGGAAUGGCCUUUGUGAUACUAAUUAUACUUAUCGGGGAAGAUGAAUAAUGUAGGAUUCCUAACGUAUAAUAUUAUGUCCUAAAACUAAUAGGAUUAUAAGGCCAAUAUUUAGAAUUCCGGUUAUGUCUUUUUAUUAUGAGUUAUUAUGCUUAAUGUUAUAAGGUAAUUUUUGUAAACCGACAUUGUAUUCAUGCUAUUAUAAUAAUAUAAAUAUAGAUAGAUAGAUAUAGAUAGUGUUACUCAUGCGCUCUUGAUUUAUACAAAUACUGUAUUUUCUUGCGUAGAUGUUACUGAUAUUUCAAUAACCUGCUUAUCUCUCAUUAUGUAUUAUUCACAAUUCCGGAUCUAGGAUUUUAAUCCUAGGUUUAGGACUUAGGUUCCAACCACUGAAACCAUCACCUUGUCUUUCCCUGGAGCUAAAAUACCAAUAGACAGGAAUUUGUUCUAAUAGCUUUUGAUCUUUUUUCACCUGAUGUUUUGUUUCUUGGAAGCCAUAUGAUCCUAUGCCUUUUAUCCCUAUUAUUUUAGGUGUUGAUAAGUUUUUCUUAGGUGUGUCACUAGUGUUUAGGUCUAAGACUAUUGGUUUCCUUUAACAAACUACUAUUCAUUAUAUUCUGCAUUUUUAUCAAAUGGUGUUGGCCUAUGAAUUGCAUAUACACAUAUUGUUAUUUGGAACGACAUUAUUUACACGCACAUAUAGGGAAGGUUUCUGUGAAGCUGUGUCGAAAAACACCUCUUAUCAGAGGCUGUCUCUGCCAAUGUGUUUGAUAAUAUGUGUUAUUGGUCAUACUUGUUAAAUUUCUAAUAUCUUUGGUUAACUGUCAGCAACUCGUUACACCUGAUAUCUUACAAAAACUCCUGCACAAAAUGGUGAGUGACCGUUUGAGUAAUUGAACCUCAUCCUCUUAUUACCCAUUGCCCUUUGACUUUGAACCAUAUAUCAUUUGUUCUCCUCAGGUUCUUCCGAAUGAUAUUGAUUAAGCUUGGGACAAAAACACAUAACUAAAGUCUCUACUCCAAGUACCUACUUGUUCUGUGGUAAUGUAUAACCACUGAUAUUCUACACAUAUUGUUUGAUCCGUUGUCACGUCCUUUGUUUUUUGCCUUCUCUUCUUUUAACUCUAAUCAACUGUUGCAGGUUGUGAAAUGUCAAUGCUUCUUCAAUACGCAAGUAACAAGAACUUGGUCUAUAUUCUUGUUUGUAUAGGUAUUCUUUUGAUAAUUAACUAUUAGUUACUGAUUUAAUAAGGUACUAGCUACUAAUAACUUCUUUACAAAUCUUACAGGGCUACGGAUUUUGGUCGUGCACAAUCGCUUGUUCUAUGCUCCAGCUGCCAACAAGAGACAUGUACACCAUCACCUAUGAGAUCGAAGCUUACAGAAGGGCUGCUGCUCCUUUAGGGUUAAAAAAGAAUGCUAAGAUGAUCGUUUGCCUGAUAUUUAGCUAUAGUUAGUUGAACUACCAAGGUGACAUAUAUAUAAGUACUUAAAGGAUGUGUUAGUCAACAGAUAAGUUUUCCGUUUACUCAGCUUCUUUUUGUGAAAACAUUCGUACUAUGAAUAAUUUGGCUGUCGUAUUAGUCUACUGCAAUUUGAAGCGAUUAAUCUUCUUAGCUUUCGAUUUUAUUCUUGUGAAAAGAAUAGUCCAUAUAUGGGCGUCAACUUCUUUGGUCAUUCAUAUAUAUAAUGCUGGGGGAUAGGGCUUUCCGUUGACUCUCAAUACAACAACAAAUCCGGGGUCUGGGAAGUGAUAAUGGGUACGCAAACCUUACCCCUACCCGGAGGAGCAGACUCUGAAUAGCGUUGUGAUUGCACUAAGCAAAUCCAAGCGUGAUGUUUUCUAUGGAUGUUAACUGGUACAGAGAAAAAUAGAGUAAUUAUUUGUUAUAGCUAGUUAAGUUGCAUUUAUAGUGUAAAAUUUCUUUCAUAUUGUCACUACAUAUAGAUUAAAUCCUUGAUAUGCAUGCUAGAAAAGUUGGGAGAAAAGGGAAGAUAAACACCAUUAUACUUAGUGGACUAGAAAGGUAAGAACAAGACUGUAUUUCUUAAAAAGAAGGCAUUGCCUCCAACACCAUUAAUAGCAAAGCAACAAACUCAACAAGGACAUUGGUUGAACAGUAGUUUAAUCAAAAGCUAAAAGACUAAUAAUAGCAAAGCAACAAACUCAAAAGCCAGGCUGAUCCAUGAUAUGAUGGAGAAGUAAUAUGAAAAUACAAGAAGAAAAAGGUAAAAAUCUGGAAGAAAGGCGUUGCCUUCCCUUUGCCGCUAUGACUUGCCUGUUAACCCUUGGUAUCCGAUUCACAUCAGAUGCACCAAAGGGUGUGACCUAGUGUUCACAUAAAAGUUGUAGAGAUCGCCAUUUCCAUCCUCGAGUACUCCAUCAAAAUCCUUCUUUUUCUUCUUUCUCCACAUCUUCUUAUGCUUCAUAGCCUUAUAGUGCAACUAAUUAUAGGAGCUGAGUUUCUGUUUUCUCUUGUCUCUACAUGUCCUAUUAUAUAGGAGUAACAAUCUUGAAAGCCAAGAAUUUGUC
rnacentral:lncRNA from 1 species